rnacentral:lncRNA from 1 species
CUUUUAUUUUUUUAUUUUUUUUAUUUUUUGGCAGAGACAGUGUCGCCUUAUGUUGCCCAGGCUGAACACCUGUGUCUCUUAACCUAAGAGCUGUCUCCAGCACAGGAUGCAAGACAGCCCCAAAAAAGUGUUAGGGACUUAAAGCCACCAGAAGCUUUUCUUAACCAAUGGAAUACAGGAGUCAAUGGGGUCUUGCUGUGUCUCCCAGGAUGGAGUGCAGUGGCACGAUCAUAGCUCACCACAGCCUCCACCUCCUGGGCUCAAAUGAUCCUCCCACCUCAGCCUCCCAAGCAGCUAGGACUACAAGUGCACACCACCACCACAUCCAGAUAAAAGGGAGAGACACAACUGGCUCCAGCCCUUUUCCUGCCUCUUCCUGCUUUGAAUACUCACAUGAUACCUGGAGCUGCAGCAGCCAUCUUGUUUACCAAGAAGAAAAGCCAAGAUGAUCACAGAAUAGCCAGCACUGGUAUUGUUCCGCCAGCGACAGCAGAUACUUACCUCCAGAUUUUUGGGGAAAAAAAAUGAGCUGGAGUGACUCUCUUGGUCCCUAAGGUGGAAGCCAUGUGUUGAGGACACUGAGCAACAAGAUAGGAGGAGCCUGGGGCCCAGCCAGAGAACAGGAAGCCACCCAAAUAGCUCUCAACCCCUUAUAGAUGGACUACUAAAUGGGAAAUAAAGUAGACUGUUCUCUC